rnacentral:rRNA from 1 species
GAUGAACGCUGGCGGCGUGCCUAAUACAUGCAAGUCGAGCGAACGGACGAGAAGCUUGCUUCUCUGAUGUUAGCGGCGGACGGGUGAGUAACACGUGGAUAACCUACCUAUAAGACUGGGAUAACUUCGGGAAACCGGAGCUAAUACCGGAUAAUAUUUUGAACCGCAUGGUUCAAAAGUGAAAGACGGUCUUGCUGCCACUUAUAGAUGGAUCCGCGCUGCAUUAGCUAGUUGGUAAGGUAACGGCUUACCAAGGCAACGAUGUAUAGCCGACCUGAGAGGGUGAUCGGCCACACUGGAACUGAGACACGGUCCAGACUCCUACGGGAGGCAGCAGUAGGGAAUCUUCCGCAAUGGGCGAAAGCCUGACGGAGCAACGCCGCGUGAGUGAUGAAGGUCUUCGGAUCGUAAAACUCUGUUAUUAGGGAAGAACAUAUGUGUAAGUAACUGUGCACAUCUUGACGGUACCUAAUCAGAAAGCCACGGCUAACUACGUG